rnacentral:tRNA from 1 species
CGGGCUGUGGCCUAGCGGCUUAAGGCACACCCAUGGGGUGGGUGGGAUCGCGGGUUCAAAUCCCGCCAGCCCGA